UGCGUAGGUGGCGUGUUAAGUCAGUGGUGAAAGCCUGCAGCUCAACUGUAGAGGUGCCAUUGAUACUGACAUGCUUGAGUAUGGACGAGGUAAGCGGAAUUUGUGGUGUAGCGGUGAAAUGCAUAGAUACCACAAGGAACACCGAUAGCGAAGGCAGCUUACUGUACCAUAACUGACACUGAGGCACGAAAGCGUGGGGAGCGAACAGGAUUAGAUACCCUGGUAGUCC
rnacentral:rRNA from 1 species